GUGCCCCACCCCGGGCACACGAGGCCUCCACUGCGGUUGCGCAGCCUGCCGAAGAGCGUGCGGCUUCUACUGCGGCUGCGCAAGCUCGACGCGCGCACUCUUGUCUGCUUACGAGGGCUCCUCCCUUCAGCUUUGGUCCCUCGGGGCGUCUGGGCAGCCUACGCUUUCCGACUGGAAUCAGCCAUUUUACCAAGAAAGUUGGGUUUCUUUUACUGGCAAAUAGUACUUCAAGAGCACAGUCUUAUGUAAGGGAGCUGUACCAAGUUAUUUUGGGUCAGAAUUCUCCUGGGAUAUCUUUUUUCUUCGCCUUUUUAAACUCGUUUAUUAUAAAAACAAUGUUACCAUAUGCAAAACUAGAAGAGUGUAAUGAAUUCCCGUGUGUCCAUCAUCUAUCUUUAACAGCAUGACCCAUCUGCCUGGCACCAGCACCUGGGGCUGCCAGGCAGCCACCCCUGCAGCUGUGUUGACAGGACCUGGCAGAGGGACUGACCCACCUUUGGAAAAUGACACCAGCAAUAUCAGGAUGUGUCAACUGGAUUUAUGCUAAGAAAAUAGGAUUUUUGGUGUUCCUCUGUUUCCCAAAGUUUGAGACACUUUCAGACACUCUGCUUUGCGGUUGUGGCCGAUGUUACCCAUGGGUGGGACUUUUGCUUUGCUCUAGAUUUUUGUAACACCCUGGGGAGUUUCAGGGGCCAAUGCUGAGAGAAGACCACAGGCUGACACAUCAUGAGGUAUGUUGGUAAAACAGUCCCGGCUGGCCGAGAGGCCACUGAGGGAACAGGCCCAGGGUUUGGUUUGUACUCUGUGAGUCUUGGCCUGGCAGGGUUUCCUGCAAAGCAGAGUCCUCUGAGUGGGACCCCAGGGGAAGCAGGUUGUUGCCUGGAGCUGAGGGGCAGCUCUGUAUUCAGGAGGGGUGCCUGCCUUCCCAUCUCCCCUGUGACCAGAUGUCACAGAAACAUUCUCUCUUUACUCCCUAGACCCUCUGGGCAGGUCCACUAAGAGCAUGUAUUCUAGAACAUGCAGGGCUUGAAGCUUCACAAGAUAUUCAGUGCACUCCUUACAGAUCCUGUCAAAUGUGGACCGGGUGGUGUCAUCGCACCACCAUCAUCCCCUUGUUACCCCUGAGAACACAGCUUCAGAGAGGGUAAGUAACCUAUCUCAGGCCACACAGCCAGGACAUGGAGUAGAUCCAUCCUAAGUCUUUCUACCACACACUCCUUUCUACAGUCAUGGGUUAAAUGAGGGUGCCAUGGAAUGGGUCAUCCAGUGUACACUGACAUCAGGAGGAGUUUCACAUUCAUACACUCAUGGCAAAUGGUUCUGUUGCUCCCUGGUCCAAAGAUGAUCUUAAUAGUAGGAAAAACUCAUUUGGCAGAAGCAAGACUCAGCACACAGGCUCUCUCCCUGAGUCUUCUGUGGCUGGCCUUGCCCUGCCCUCCCCUCCCCAACCCCACUGGCAGAAUAAAGUCGGGGGGCUGUGAGGACUGAGCCCCAGGCCUUGACAGGCACCCGCAGCCAGCCGAACUCCCACCUGCCCAGUUGGAGGGGUGCGAGAAGGCCUUGCUGCUCUGCACCACCUUCAUGGCCUCCCCCAGGGCGGCGCUGGCUUUCAGGCCGUUCAGCAGGGAUGAGUAGAAGGCAUGGAUGAACAUCUUAGAAGCAGCCACUGGCACAGGCCACAGAGACACGAGGACACACUGAGCGCCGGCAGCCAGGAAGGCCCUUGUCAGCGCGAUGACCCCGUCGGCUGUGACUUUGCUGUUGGACUCCUGGGAGGAGCCAAGCACCACCAGCUUCACAGGCAGCUGCAGGUCCAGGACGUCGGCGGCAGUGCCUAACUUACUGAGAAUCAUGCCUGCUGUGAUGAGCCCUUGGAAACCAUCAGGACUGGAUGGUAGGGGUCCUGAGAGGAUUGGGGGAGGAGGCCUUGAUAUGACAGAGUGGACAGAGGCCGUGGAACCCAGGACAGCCAGCCUGCUCCACAAUCCUCAUCCCCACAGACCUUCAUGUGUGGCUCCUAAAUAAGAGGAAACCCACUCCUGAUAAGUCAGGGGCUUUGAAAAGUGAUUUUGUUUAAAUGGUGCAAACAAGCAAGCCAAUCUUGGGGAGACAGGGCUAAACUUAAGUCCUUUAAGAAGCUCUACAUACUGACAAGAUUCUAGUUCCCUUCCACCUUAUAUGCUGCAAAGUAAAAAGUAUCACUGAAUGAGAAAAUCAGCAUAAAGAAGCCCAAUAAUGUCUGCCUGAGUUUCCCCUAUGAUGACUUUUGGUACUUUUUGGGAAACAUUAAGUAUGAAGUUAUUUCAAAAUAAUUUUUUGGUGCCUCUGCUUGGUGAUGCCUUAAACUCUGGGUAAGAGAAACACCAGGUGCCUGUCAGGAGAUGGCCUUUUCCAGGUUUCUGGUUAAGCUACAAACAGCUAACUGGCUGCUGUCAUCAAAAUAAAAGCUUUCUGAAGGUGGAGGCAUCUGAUACCCAGAGUGCUGCUAUCAGCCGGCACGGUGGGCCGCUGGGUGGCAGGAGCGUCGAGAAGGCCAGCUCGCUUCCUAUCUGGGAUUCAGAAUCAGCUAUGGAAACUUGAGAGACCUAGAGAAAAUAACUUCUUUCACUUUGAACUGAUUCUUUGCUUCAUAAGAAAAGUAUUAUCCAGCCACAAAAAUGGUCAAAAUUCAGAUCUACAAAAGCCUGUCAGGCAGAAACUGACCCCACUUAGGCCACGCCAAUGAGCAAGUCAUCAAAGCAGCCAAGACAGGUCCUGUGGGGGCCACCCAUGCACAGGGCCCAGCCUCGGGUCCUAACCCCGCCUAUGCUUUCCGCCACCAUAAAGAGGCCCAUCUGGGUAAGACCUGUCCCGCCUGCUGUGGGGUAUUAGGGCAGAUGGGGUCUGAGGGGUCUGAGGGCUCUGAGAGCAGCUGGCAGCUCAAGGACAUCCGGAGUUGGAGGAUGGAGCAAUGCAGGCCCUUGUGGUAAAGACAGUCCUGCAGCCGCGCAGGCAGGGAUGCUGCAAGUGGAGUGCCAGGCGGGUGCGGAGCCCUGUGGGACUGUGGAGGGGUCAGAGGGAAGCCAGGAUUUUGGGGUCUCUGAGAGUUUGGAGAAGGGGAAGAAGAUUAAAGCUUGUUUCAAAAGUUUCUAAUCAGGUGGGCAGGGCCAAGGGUGGCUGUGGGGUGAGACCCAUGACUCAGGGUGGCCCACUGUUACUCUAUUGAUUUUUGGGCGUUUUUUUCCAAAUUGAUUAUUCUUGCUGAAUGAGACCUGAGUCCUUGACUGUCCCCUUAAAGCCACCUGACUUGUUUUCAGUUCCACUGGCCUGUCGGGCUGUUUUCUACUCAACUCCACUCUUGCUUGUCUGCCCUCCCUGCCUGGGGCCCAGCCAGCAGUCAGCUCAAGGGCCAGAUGAAUUGGGUGGCUGUGCUCUGCCCACUGGGCAUCGUGUGGAUGGUGGGUGACCAGCCCCCUCAGGUGCUCAGCCAGGCCUCAAGCCUUGCUGUGUACCUCAGAGCAGCUCCGUACCCUGAUGUCACAGCAAAGAAACUUAGACAUGACACAAACUGUGGCUUCCCAAGGCAGCAAAGAAUGGCCAGGGGUCAUGAGGGCCGUGCCCCACUUUUGGACAGACCUACUCUAAAGUCACGCUACCUGCGUGCAAAUCAUAAAAUCAACACUUUUGAGGAGAUCACAGCUAUGCCUUCGUAACACAGCCCAGUCCGACCAGAUAGACGGUGCCUCGUGACCCGAAAACAAGCCCCCGGCCCCCCACCAUGUGUGUGAGCCUUACCUUGGACUGCACGCUGAGGGAGCGGAUGGAAGGGACAGCAAGGAGGCCGAAGCGCUCGUAGAGGUACUCAUUGGAGGAGCUUCCCUUCAGGAGGGCGAAAGGAAUGAGGUAGAGCUCCCCCUCCAGAACCAGGAUGAGCUGCCGGUGCCGGCCCACGGGGCCGCUGGAGUGCAUCAGGCCCUAUGGAGCAAGCACGGAGAGGCUGACAUGGGUGGCCCAGCAGGCAGGGGUUUCAGGCACCAGGACAACCCUGAGCCCUAGCCUGGAUGACACAAGCACGAGCAGGUGAGGCCUGUGGGGGUGUGGGGCGCCAUGGGGCAUGGGCCGAGUUGCAGCCCUGCAGGAGCGGCACCAACUGGCAUGCUCGCUUGUGGACUGGCAAGGGCUGGCCUGGCAGCAUCCAUCUGCCUCACAGUCCUGAGAAGGUUAGAGGACAGUUUCUUGAAGUUCACAAGAACCUGAAGUGGGUUGGAGACCGGUCUGUACCGCACAGGCACCCUGAGAAGGGGUGGGAAUGGCCCCUCUCAAAACAAGAUCUGUUUUCCAUUUCAAUGGACAAGAGGCUAGAAAAUCACAGUGAGGACGGGAGGUCUGGGGGCUGGCAUGACAGCCCCUGUAGAAGGGGAUGGGCUGGGUUCUAGGAUCUUCCGUGACCUCCUCUGAGAAAGAGUGGCCCCUUGGCUCUGGGCUUGGGAGGUGCCGUCCCCACUUGUUCCCUCUGGGGAUGUCAGGGGACCCAAUGCAUGGAUGACUCCCAUCCCUCUUGAAAGGCCGAGCAUGAGGACUCGAGGCAGGGUGUGCACAGGGCCACAGCGGACACAGCCUCAUUCCUGUUCAUUGCAGAACAAGGCUAAGGGCGCGGGCAUCUUAAUGAGAGCAGCAGGCAACAAUCCUGGAAGCUGGGUCCACACAGACUGCGGUGAACAAAGAGGUGGCGUGGAAGCUGCUGCUGCAGCCCAGAGCCUGCCAAGAAGGUCCCAGGUCCACAGGGCCUGCGCAACACUGGGUGCCAGGGGUGGGGCUGGCCUGCCCCCCAACCCCAUCUGCUGAGGAGUGGCUGACAAGCGGACACCCACCAGGGUGCCACUCGCUUGUGCCUGGGGAAGCAAAUGUGCUCGCUUGACCCGUCUGAUGUGCUGCCGUGGGCACUUGACUGAGAGUGGCAGAGCACUAGGCUAACCCAAAGUGACACAUGCCUGGCGGGAUGUUCAGUCUCUGUAAACCCAUAUGGUUUUUUUUUUUCUUUCCUUUAAAAAAAAUUUCUAGCUCCAUCUAGCGAAAGCAGAAAUAAAAAGUAUUAGGCCAA
rnacentral:lncRNA from 1 species